rnacentral:rRNA from 1 species
GAACGAACGCUGGCGGCGUGCCUAACACAUGCAAGUCGAGCGCGAAAAAGGGAGCAAUCUCUUGAGUAGAGCGGCGCACGGGUGAGUAACACGUGGGUAAUCUACCUUCGGAUUUGGAAUAACCCAGGGAAACUUGGGCUAAUACCGGAUAAGACCACGGUUCUAACAGUAACGUGGUAAAAGCGGAGGACCUCUUCGGAGGCUUCGCGUCUGAAGAUGAGCCCGCGGCCCAUCACGGUAGUUGGCGGGGUAACGGCCCACCAAGCCUUAGACGGGUAGCUGGUCUGAGAGGAUGAUCAGCCACACUGGAACUGAGACACGGUCCAGACUCCUACGGGAGGCAGCAGUGGGGAAUUUUGCGCAAUGGGCGCAAGCCUGACGCAGCAACGCCGCGUGAGUGAUGAAGGUCUUCGGAUCGUAAAGCUCUGUCGGUGGGAACGAUGCUUUCGCUAGCUAAUAUCUAGCGGAAUCGACGGUACCUGCAAAGGAAGCACCGGCUAACUCUGUGCCAGCAGCCGCGGUAA